rnacentral:rRNA from 1 species
GAUGAACGCUGGCGGCGUGCCUAAUACAUGCAAGUCGAGCGAACAGACGAGGAGCUUGCUCCUCUGACGUUAGCGGCGGACGGGUGAGUAACACGUGGAUAACCUACCUAUAAGACUGGGAUAACUUCGGGAAACCGGAGCUAAUACCGGAUAACAUGUUGAACCGCAUGGUUCAACAGUGAAAGACGGUCUUGCUGUCACUUAUAGAUGGAUCCGCGCCGCAUUAGCUAGUUGGUAAGGUAACGGCUUACCAAGGCAACGAUGCGUAGCCGACCUGAGAGGGUGAUCGGCCACACUAGAACUGAGACACGGUCCAGACUCCUACGGGAGGCAGCAGUAGGGGAUCUUCCGCAAUGGGCGAAAUCCUGACGGAGCAACGCCGCGUGAGUGAAGAAGGUCUUCGGAUCGUAAAACUCUGUUAUUAGGGAAAAACAAAUGUGUAAGUAACUAUGCACGUCUUGACGGUACCUAAUCAGAAAGCCACGGCUAACUACAUG